rnacentral:misc_RNA from 1 species
UCCGAGUUGACCCCGGCAGUCUCCUGCGAGUCCCCGCCAUAACCCGCUGGUAACAUAAGACAAGGGUUGCGCUCGUUGCGGGACUUAACCCAACAUCUCACGACACGAGCUGACGACAGCCAUGCAGCACCUCUAUGGCGGCUCCCGAAGGAGAGACUCUAUUUCUAGAGCUGUCCGCUACAGUUCAAGCCCAGGUAAGGUUUUGCGCGUUGCAUCGAAUUAAACCACAUGCUCCACCGCUUGUGCGGGCCCCCGUCAAUUCCUUUGAGUUUCAGCCUUGCGGCCGUACUCCCCAGGCGGGGCACUUACUGCGUUAGCGACGGCACCGGGAGGGUCGCUCCCCCCGACGCCUAGUGCCCAUCGUUUACGGCGUGGACUAC